GGACCCUCAGAGACCCCUUGGGGACCCCUCAGGUCCCUCUAUGUCCCUUUUAGGACCCCUGGGGACCCCGCAAAGACAUUUGGGGACCCCUUAGGACCCCCCAGGUCCCCUUGAGGACCCCCAAGUCCCCUUUAGGACCCCCCAGUUCCCUUUUAGGACUCGUGGGGCCCCCCAGGUCCCCUUGAGGACCCCCAGAGGUCCUUUGAGGACCCCUCAGGUCUCUCUAUGUCCCUUUUAGGACCCCUGGGGACCCCGCAAAGACAUUUGGGGACCCCUUAGGACCCCCCAGGUCCCCUUUAGGACCCCCAAGUCCCCUUUAGGACCCCCCAGUUCCCUUUUAGGACCCGUGGGGCCCCCCCAGGUCCCCUUGAGGACCCCCAGAGGCCCCUUGGGGACCCCUCAGGUCCCUCUAUGUCCCUUUUAGGACCCCCUAGGACCC
rnacentral:lncRNA from 1 species